rnacentral:rRNA from 1 species
CAUUACAGUCACAGCAGUUGGUAACUUCUAUCGUAGCUGAGUUUGGUUGAAACCCAAAGCUAAGCAAGAUUGAACCUGAUUAGUACUUGGUUGGGAAAUUCCCAAUAAAUUCAGGGUUUCUGUGUUGU